GAUGAACAAAUAUUCUUAUCUGCGGAUCUAUUCAUCGCUGGAAUUCGACCCGCUAUUAAUGUGGGUAUUUUUGUUUCAACUAUAGGAUCCACGGCUCAGAUUAAAGCCAUGACACAAGCAGCUGACAAAUCUUAAUUGGAACUAGCUCAAUUCGUAGAGUUACAAGCCUUUGCACAAUUCGCCUCUGCUCUUGAUAAAACAAGAUAGAAUCAAUUGGCAGGGGCUCGAUGAUUAAGGGAAUUGCUUAAAUAGUCUUGGGCAAAUCCUCUCUCGGUGGAAGAGAAAAUAGCUACUAUUUAUACCGGAACAAGAGGAUAUCUCGAUUCGUUAGAAAUUGUACAGAUAAAUAAAUUUAUGGAUGAGUUUCGUAAACACCUAAAAGAUAUUAAAACUCAAUUUCAGAAAAUUAUAUCUUCUAGCAAGACAUUCACAUAG
rnacentral:rRNA from 1 species